rnacentral:misc_RNA from 1 species
CCUGCAGAUCAGAUGAAAGUGAUGAAUUAUGUAACAAGCAGACAGAACCCAUGACAAAGAAUAAUUGAAGGAAAUUCUUGUAAAAGAAAUGCAAUUUGAAGGAGCAUUAAGAAAACAAUACUUGCCAAACCUUCAUUCUAAAAAUUGCAGGUCAGUAAAUUUCCAAGACAAGGAUCUUCAACAACACAUCACAACUACUAAACAAUUAAUGAAAUCCAAAUUUGGUUUUGUCAAUAUACCUCGCAAACAAGACUCACACUUGGUUCAAGUUCAUCUUUCCAGCACUAAAAUGAAUUUUAUUUUUUAUUAUAACUGGUAGACUAGAUUGACAUGGGGCUUGGAUUUCCAAACAGUAAUAGAAAAGGCAAAGGAAGCAAAAGCGUGAAAAA